GACGUAGGGCGCGAGCGUUGUCCGGAAUCAUUGGGCGUAAAGCGCGCGUAGGCGGCCCGAUAAGUCCGCUGUGAAAGUCAAAGGCUCAACCUUUGAAUGCCGGUGGAUACUGUCGGGCUAGAGUCCGGAAGAGGCGAGUGGAAUUCCUGGUGUAGCGGUGGAAUGCGCAGAUAUCAGGAGGAACACCAAUAGCGAAGGCAGCUCGCUGGGACGGUACUGACGCUAAGGCGCGAAAGCGUGGGGAGCGAACAGG
rnacentral:rRNA from 1 species